UGCGCAGGCGGGCUUGUAAGUCAGUGGUGAAAUACUGCCGCUUAACGGUAGAACUGCCAUUGAUACUACAAGUCUUGAAUAUGGUUGAGGUAGGCGGAAUGUGUCGUGUAGCGGUGAAAUGCAUAGAUAUGACACAGAACGCCAAUUGCGAAGGCAGCUUACUAAGCCAUUAUUGACGCUGAGGCACGAAAGCGUGGGGAGCGAACAGGAUUAGAUACCCUGGUAGUCC
rnacentral:rRNA from 1 species